rnacentral:tRNA from 1 species
GCCCUCGUAGCUCAGGGGACAGAGCAGCGGACUUCUACUCCGCGGGUCGGGAGUUCGAAUCUCUCCGAGGGUACCA